rnacentral:lncRNA from 1 species
CUUCACUGCUAAUUCCUGUGGCUGAACAACUGCCACAAGUGUUUUCUUUCAAAGGAGAGAAAACAGCACUGUAACUUCAUUGAAAUGGCUGAGAUUUCAACCUUCAUCAGUCUGGAAUCUGAAAAGCUUUAAGAUUUAAGCUGAAGAUCAUGAAUUUUUAGGCACCAUCCUAUUCAGGAGACAUAAUACAUACAUGGCUAGCACUCAGCACCUUGAAGAACUGUGUUCUCUACUGAAACAAUUGGCAGUCUUCCUUCCUCUGUUUACACCAAGUCCAUGAAAGAAGCAAGUGCAUAAAGAGAUAUGUGAGUUUCGCUUCAGAGAGACUCAGAUACUGAUAAUUUGCUACUAAAGGUGGUGUCCCCUGCAAGCAGCACAGUGAAGCCUCUGACCUUAGGACCCAAAGGAGCAGAAGAAGAGUCUACAUAACUGCAAUAAGUGGGGUAGAAAUGAAGAAAUGC